UUUCCGUAGGUGAACCUGCGGAAGGAUCAUUACUGUAUGAUGGAGGUUCAAGGGCUGUCGCUGACCCGACAGGUCGUGCACGCCCGAGUGCCCUCACACACUUCCAACUCUCCCCUAUGUUCACCACGGCGUGCGUCCCCCUUUGGCUUGAUCGGUGGGGGGUUUACGUUUUCACACAAACUUUGUAUGUAGUGUAGAAUGUAUUUUUUGAAUUUGCCAUCCCGCAAUCAAUACAACUUUCAACAACGGAUCUCUUGGCUCUC
rnacentral:misc_RNA from 1 species